rnacentral:rRNA from 1 species
GCACGUAGUUAGCCGGUGCUGAUUCUGCCGGUACCGUCAAAAAACGCAGGUAUUAACCGCGUCCUUUUCUUCCCGGCCAAAAGCGGUUUACAACCCGAAGGCCUUCUUCCCGCACGCGGCAUGGCUGGAUCAGGGUUGCCCCCAUUGUCCAAAAUUCCCCACUGCUGCCUCCCGUAGGAGUCUGGGCCGUGUCUCAGUCCCAGUGUGGCUGAUCAUCCUCUCAGACCAGCUACCGAUCGUCGCCUUGGUAAGCCGUUACCUCACCAACAAGCUAAUCGGACAUCGGCCGCUCCCAGAGCAUGAGGCCCUUGCGGGUCCCCCACUUUCCUCCUCAGAGCAUAUGCGGUAUUAGCGCCGCUUUCGCGGCGUUAUCCCCCACUCCGGGACACGUUCCGAUGCAUUACUCACCCGUUCGCCGCUCGCCGCCAGGGUUGCCCCCGCGCUGCCGCUCGACUUGCAUGUGUAAAGCAUGCCGCCAGCGUUCAAU